GCAAGAGUCUGAAAAACUUGGAGCCAGACCAUGGCCGAGGACUCUCUGGGCCCUGAGAUCACCAACUUUAAGAGGUCAGAUAAAGCCAUCAAGAGACUGAGGAAUGGAGCUUGGUAAAUGUAAAGGACCAUCACUGGAGAGGAGAUCCACAGGAGGGAAUGUCCACUAUCAUGACCAGUGGAAGAAGUGGACAGAACUGGGACUGAGCCUAGAGCCCCA